UAGGGAAUCUUCCACAAUGGACGAAAGUCUGAUGGAGCAACGCCGCGUGAGCGAAGAAGGUUUUCGGAUCGUAAAGCUCUGUUGCGAGGGAAGAACAAGUACGGGAGUAACUGCCCGUACCUUGACGGUACCUCGUCAGAAAGCCACGGCUAACUACGUGCCAGCAGCCGCGGUAAUACGUAGGUGGCAAGCGUUGUCCGGAAUUAUUGGGCGUAAAGCGCGCGCAGGCGGUCCUUUAAGUCUGAUGUGAAAGCCCACGGCGCAGCCGUGGAGGGUCCUGGGAAGCAGGAGGACUUGGGUAGAGAAGGGGGCAGCGGAAUUCCACGUGUAGCGGUGAAAUGCGUAGAGAUGUGGAGGAACACCAGUGGCGAAGGCGGCUUUCUGGUCUGUAACUGUCGAUGAGGCGCGAAAGCGUGGGGAGCAGACAGG
rnacentral:rRNA from 1 species